rnacentral:SRP_RNA from 1 species
GCCGGGCGCAGUGGCGCGUGCCUGUAGUCCCAGCUACUGGGGAGGCUGAGGCUGGAGGAUCGCUUGAGUCCAGGAGUUCUGGGCUACUGUGCGCUAUGCUGAUCGGGUGUCCGCACUAAGUUCGGCAUCAAUAUGGUGACCUCCCGGGAGCGGGGGACCACCAGGUUGCCUAAGGAGGGGUGAACUGGCCCAGGUCGGAAAUGGAGCAGGUCAAAACUCCCGUGCUGAUCAGAAUAGUUGCCAAGAUUAAAUGAGAUGAUAUGUGUUAAAGCACUUGAGUACAGUGCCUGGCAUGUAGUGACCACUCA